AGCAGCCGCGGUAAUUCCAGCUCCAAUAGCGUAUAUUAAAGUUGUUGCAGUUAAAAGCUCGUAGUUGAAUUUCGGGGUUAGUAGGUUGGUCAUGCCUCUGGUAUGUACUGGUCUCACUGAUUCCUCCUUCCUGAUGAACCUUAAUGCCAUUUAAUUUGGUGUUGCGGGGAAUUUGGACUGUUACUUUGAAAAAUUAGAGUGUUUAAAGCAAGCUAACGCUUGAAUACAUUAGCAUGGAAUAAUGAAAUAGGACGUUCGAUCCUUAUUUUGUUGGUUUCUAGGAUUGACGUAAUGAUUAAUAGGGAUAGGUUGGGGGCAUUAGUAUUCAAUU
rnacentral:misc_RNA from 1 species